UGUUACUCCUAUCCCUACCUCCUCGUGGUACUGGCCGGGGUACGAGUAACCUUGGGGAAGAUCGGGUAACCAACCCCCGGUGGGAACUUUGGUCGUAUGCUGACAGGGAAGG
rnacentral:ribozyme from 1 species